GCACGGUGGAACAAGACGGUCCUGGGUUCGAUCCCCGGGCUUUGGAUCUCUUCUGUGUGGAGUUUGCAUGUUCUCCCCGUGACUGCAUGAGUUCCCUCCUGGUACUCCGGCUUCCUCCCACCCUCAAAGACAUGCACCGGGGGAUAAGUUGAUUGGCAACACUAAAUGGACCCUAGUAUGUGAAUGUGAGUGUGGAUGUUGUCUAUCUGUGUUGGCCCUGCGAUGAGGUGGUGACUUGUCCAGGGUGUACACCGCCUUCCACCUAAGUGCAGCUGGGAUAUGCUCCAGCAGCCCUCCCGACCCCGAAAGGGACAAGCGGUAGGAUGGAUGGAUGUUCACUGUGUUGGAUAAAACAAAUGUAAAGCUGCAGCACACGGCAUCGAAACGGACACCGGAAAGUCUCGGCAUGUGUUGACUGGAAGGUGGAGAUGACUCUUAGCGUACCAAAGAAGAAGACAGUGUUGCUCCAAAGACCAGAGGAG